UUAUAUUUAUUUUUUAACUUUUUCUUUUUCUUUUUCUUUUUCUUUUUGUUUACAGCAUGCCAAAUCCUUUGGCAUAUGUGAUGGCCUUCAACAAUCUCUCUUUAAGUUUUUCUUUGCUUGAAUAUUCCGGAAGUAAAAGGACAUUAAAGCAAGUAUGAGAUGUAGGUAACCUAAAUAAAGAGAAAGGGAAAAACAGGACAAUCAUGAGUCAUUGGAAAUAUGCUCAGUGUUAAAUGCUCCUAUUAGAUACAUAUCUUGUUAGGACGGUUUUUAAUGAGAAACUACAGAUUAAAUAUAUCAUAAACAUUGUACUGUUUAGUUAAAAAGAUCAGUUGGGUCUUUAUCCUAUGAAAUAAUGCAAAAAUUAAAGUGAUGCUGAUGAUAGUAACAUUUAUUAUCUAUUGAGUUUCCACUCUGUUACCUAUUGCUUUAGAUACUUUAACACUGAAGUUCAUUUAAAUCUUUACACAACAAACAUCUUACUAAACCCAUUAAAAGCUGAAGUCACUAAACAACUUACACCAAAGAUUAAAAAUUAUUCAAACCUGGCUUUUAAAGAUUUUGAAGUCUAUGCUCUGUAUAUAGAUUUGAAAUACUGCUGGCAAAAUGAAAAUGAUAAUGAUUGAUUAUAAAUUAAUUAAAAUUAGAGCCAAGAUGUAUAAAAUGUCUAAUUAACAGUAAUAAAAAUAUAUCUGUCGAUGUAUAUCGAAGUCUACCUAGGACAUAUUGUUCAGCCCCACCAUAAAAUUGUGAAGUAUUUAUUGGAGAAAGAAUACAAUCAAAAGUCAGAAUGAUUUAACCCUAGAAUAAGAAUCUAGUAUAAUGUAAAAGAACAGACAAUCCUCUAAAUUUUAGUGUAGCCAUUCAAAGUAGACUGUUCUAUAAUAAGGCUUUCUUAAUAAACUAUGAAACAAAGGGGGAAUAAAACAUAACAACUUGAUAACGUCUGUACUUCUGUAAGCUCCAUAAUUACUUUUUAACUACACUAAUUUUUAAAAAAAUUCCUCAAAUCAUGAAGGGAAAAUAUCCAUUCCACUAGUGUUUGCUGACUUAGAUAUUUCAAUAUAACAUCAGAAGAGUAUAUAGAGGCUACAUGUUGGCUCUGCUUGCGUGUAUGGAAUAUGGUGAAAAGGUUUACAGUGGGUACAAAGUUGGAGUUUGAUAUUACCUUUCUGUGUCUGGGCCAUUUUUGGCUAUAAUCAUCUUCAAUUUUCCUAGUCCUCCAACAGGUGCUCUGUCUGUGCCUGUUGUAAACUGCAGAAAGAGUCUUUUCUGUUCAUCUGUAAACGAAUGAACAAUUUCCCAGAACUCCCUAAUGUGAAAAGAGAAUACUGGUUUUAAUUUGACAUCCACUAUAAACAAGAUCAUAGUACUACAACAUUAAGGCCAAUGUCACAGUGAAUAUUAAAAGUACCAUUUACACUUAGUAUGUAAGUUUUAGUCAGCCAGAUUUUAUAUCUUGUAGGAACUAUAUAUGGGAUAAAUAUUAAUAACUCUUUUGCUCAGUAAUUCUACUUAAAAAGUACUUUUGUAUUCCUAAUGCUAAGCGUGAUGUUUUAAAAUUUACUUUUGUAAAAAAUACAUGUUCAAUAUCCUAUUCACAUUUCUAAAACCUCAAUCUAAAAAUCUAUCAAGAUCUUCUCCAAAGCAAGAGAAAUGUGCAAUAAAUAUAUCUGUAAUCUAUGCUGAGAAUAAAAUUGGAAAAUCAAGUAAUAAAUCCCCAAAGUAAAAGUAGAGAGAAAUAAUACACAAGAUAAGCACAGUUAAGGAUCAGAAUAGGACAAAAAAAUUGUAGACACUGGAAGAGCGGAAGAAAGAAGUGACGAAACUUUCCAAAGAUGAUAGAAAUACCUGGUGAAGGGAUUUUAAUUUUUAAAAAAUUGUAAGUGAAAAGUAGAAGGCAUUGAAUCACAUAAAGCAGAACCAAAUAUUAAAGAAACAGCAGUAAAAGGUUUUCCUUCAUUGAGAAACCACUUAAAGUGACUGUACUAUGCUUUGCUACCCCAUGACAUUUACUAAGAGCAGGUCCAUGGGAGGAAAUAUAUAAAAAAGUAAAUGAUAAAAAAUAAAUUUAAGUCCAAUAGGAAUAUUAUGAAGAGUUCUUCAAAUGAGAAAUAAGGCUUUUUGGAAUAUGAAACUAUUUUUAAAAAAGACUGAGUCGUGAAUAAUAUAAACUCUAACAUGAAAAGUUUAACGAUGGCAUCAUGAAUCAAAAAUAAAGAGAUUAAUGAAUUCAAACAGAAAUAAUAACACUUGAAAAUACUGAGGCAGGUUGGUGAGAUGGCUCAGCAGGUAGGAGCACAGACUGCUCUUCUGAAGGUCCUGAGUUCAAAGUCCCAGCAACCUCAUGGUGGCUCACAACCAUCCGUAAUGAGAUGAUCCCUCUUCUGGCGAGUCUGAAGACAGCUACAGUGUACUUAUGUAUUAUAAUAAAUAAAUCUUUUGGGCCAGAGUAAGCAGAGUGACCGGAGCGAGCAGAGGUCCUAAAACUUCAAUUCCCAACAACCAUGCGAAGGCUCACAACCAUCUGUUCAGCUACAGUGUACCCAUAUAC
rnacentral:lncRNA from 1 species